rnacentral:rRNA from 1 species
UACGGAGGGUGCAAACGUUGCUCGGAAUCAUUGGGCGUAAAGCGCACGUAGGCGGUCCGUUAUGUCGGGUGCGAAAGCCCUCGGCUUAACCGAGGAAGUGCAUUCGAAACUGGCGGACUUGAGUACCGGAGGGGGUCGCGGAAUUCCCGGUGUAGAGGUGAAAUUCGUAGAUAUCGGGAGGAACACCAGUGGCGAAGGCGGCGACCUGGACGGAUACUGACGCUGAGGUGCGAAAGCGUGGGGAGCAAACAGG